rnacentral:misc_RNA from 1 species
GAUGAAGAACGUAGCGAAAUGCGAUAAGUAGUGUGAAUUGCAGAAUUCAGUGAAUCAUCGAAUCUUUGAACGCACAUUGCGCCCCUUGGUAUUCCAUGGGGCAUGCCUGUUCGAGCGUCAUUUGUACCUUCAAGCUUUGUUUGGUGUUGGGUGUUUGUCCCGAGGGACUCGCCUUAAAGUAAUUGGCAGCCAGUGUUUGGUUUUGAAGCGCAGCACAAGUCGCGAUUCAAGGCUACACGCCCGCUUCCACAAGCCUUUUUUCACUUUUGACCUCGGAUCAGGUAGGGAUACCCGCUGAACUUAAGCAUAUCAAUAAGCGGAGGA